AUGCUAGAACAUUUGUUGGGUUUUGAGAGAUGGUGGGAAAUAGAUGAGAGGCAAGAAGAACAGACAAUAUUUCCUGUGCUUGAGAAGUUGUUUAUUAGUCAUUGUGGAAAGUUGGUAGCAUUUCCUGAAGCACCAUUGCUGCAAGGACCUUGUGGUGAAGGUGGUUAUACAUUGGUACGCUCAGCAUUUCCUGCCCUAAAGGUACUCAAAAUGAAAUGCUUGGGGAGCUUUCAGAGAUGGGAUGCAGUCGAAGGGCCAUUGUUUCCUCAGCUUGAGAAACUAUCAGUUGAGAAUUGCCCAAAGAUAAAAGAUUUACCUGAAGCACCAAAUCUCAGUGUAUUAAAAAUUGUAGAUGGCAAACAAGAGAUCUUCCACUGUGUAGACAAGUAUUUGUCUUCAUUGACCAAUCUGACACUGAUGCUAGAAUACACUUCAAUUCUACCUGUGGACAGCAAAGAGAAAUGGAACCAUAAAUCCCCUCUUACAGUUGUGAAGAUAGGAUGCUGCAACUCAUUCUUUGGACCAGGUGCACUAGAGCCGUGGGAGUAUUUUGUACACCUCGAGAAGUUGGAAAUUUAUAGGUGCGACGUGCUCGUCCACUGGCCAGAGAAAGUGCUUCAAAGCUUGGUAUCCUUAAGGACAUUAGUGAUUAGAAACUGCGAAAAUCUGACUGGAUAUGCACAAGCUCCUCUUGAGCCAUUGACAUCCGAAAGGUGUGAACACCUGAGAGGUCUGGAGUCUCUUUGCUUACAAAACUGCCCAAGUUUAGUAGAGAUGUUCAACGUCCCGACAUCUCUGAAGAAAAUGGAUAUUAGAUGGUGCAUUAAGCUUGAGUCCAUAUUCAGCAAGCAGCAGGGCAUGUCAGAUUUAGUCCAAGGAUCUUCUAGCAGUGAGGCAGUCAUGCGUGCAACUGUAUCAGAAUUGUCCUCUUCACCCGUGAAUCACUUUUUACCAUGCCUCGAAGAUUUAUAUUUAUUUGCAUGUGGAAGCUUACCAGCGGUUCUAAAUCUCCCUCUGUCCUUAAAGGCCUUAGAAAUUGAUGGUUGCAACGGUAUUCAAGUCCUAUCAUGCCAGUCGGGUGGGCUCCAGAAACCAGAAGUCACUACCUCCAUAAGCAGAAGUCCUAUCAUGCCAGAGCCAGCAGCAACAACAACUGCAAUAGAGCAUUUAUUUCCUCCCCAUCUCGAAUCUCUAGUAAUACGGGAUUGUGCUGGCAUGUUGGGUGGGACUCUCUGCCUGCCUGCACCCCUCAAGAGACUGGGUAUUAUUGGCAACAGUGGGUUGACAUCGCUGGAGUGUCUGUCGGUUGAGCACCCCCCAUCGCUGGAAGAACUUGAACUUAAAAGCUGUUGUACCCUGGCAUUCCUGCCGAAUGAGCCGCAAGUAUACAGGUCUCUCUUGUUUCUUAUAAUUAGAGGCUGCCCUGCUAUAAAGAAGCUCCCUAGAUGCCUGUGGCAGCAACUGGGCAGCAUCAAAGGCAAAUAUCUAGAUGCCGGUUAUGAAGUAACGGAAUUCAAACCACUGAAACCGAAGACAUGGGAGGAAAUACCGAGGCUAGUCCGUGAGCGGAGGCAGGCCAGCCGGAGUUGA
rnacentral:rRNA from 1 species